UUACGCAAGAGAACCAAUCUAGGGUUCGUUCAUCCUUCUCUUCUACAUCUGAAACUCAAGCGACGAUGGUGUUUUCCAGAAGUUUUACUGCGAAGCAUCUUCAUGUUGACUCUCUUGCUCGAGCUCAUUUAAGUCCGUUUCGUCUGGGAUUCUUUUCUUCAAACCGUUACGAAAUGCAUUGAACCAUCACAUUAACGGCCGUCUUAACUCUUCGACUCGCUUCAACCACUAUAAAAAGUUUUUGGAUUCAGUUUCAUCUUCUCCAUCAACAAGCAUCUACGUGCCCUCCGCUUGAGUUGUGAUUUUACUCGAGUGACUGGUCCUAUGUGAUGCAAAGCUCUAAGUUGAUCUGAAGGAGGACAUUAGUGAUGUGAUGUCCUAGGGAGGAGAUGAAGUUUAUUUGUCAAGGAGUUUGAGUUUGUCUAAGGUUGAGCUGUGAUUGAAAUCGAGAAGAAGAUAUACAUUAAACCGUAAAGAAGAAGAAUAUGUUGUUAAUGAUCAUUUUGAGCAACCGAAGGAUGAGUUAGCGAUGGAAAGAGAUGUGAUUCAUGAACAGAAGGAACAAGCCUACACUCAGGUAGAAGGAGGGAAGUCAAGGAGAGAUUGCCAGCAACAGUAUGUGCCACGUGGAUCCCUCCAGAACCAAAGAGGUCAUCGAGGUGCUCGAAGAGGCUAUUCCAAUGCCCGAGGAGGUAGAGCUGGUGAUGGUGGCUACUCGAAUGGGUGGUAUGAAUCUUAUGAUAAUUCCGGUGGAAACAGUUACCAAAGGAGCUACU